rnacentral:rRNA from 1 species
UACCCUACAGACCGCAAUAACCUCGGGAAACUGAGGCCAAUAGCGGAUAUAACUCUCAUGCUGGAGUGCCGAGAGUUAGAAACGUUCCGGCGCUGUAGGAUGUGGCUGCGGCCGAUUAGGUAGAUGGUGGGGUAACGGCCCACCAUGCCGAUAAUCGGUACGGGUUGUGAGAGCAAGAACCCGGAGACGGUAUCUGAGACAAGAUACCGGGCCCUACGGGGCGCAGCAGGCGCGAAACCUUUACACUGCACGACAGUGCGAUAGGGGGACUCCGAGUGCGAGGGCAUAUAGCCCUCGCUUUUCUGUACCGUAAGGUGGUACAGGAACAAGGACUGGGCAAGACCGGUGCCAGCCGCCGCGGUAAUACCGGCAGUCCAAGUGAUGGCCGAUAUUAUUGGGCCUAAAGCGUCCGUAGCCGGCCGGACAAGUCCGUUGGGAAAUCGACGCGCUCAACGCGUCGGCGUCCAGCGGAAACUGUCCGGCUUGGGGCCGGAAGACCUGAGGGGUACGUCCGGGGUAGGAGUGAAAUCCUGUAAUCCUGGACGGACCACCAAUGGGGA